AACAGCUCAACAAUCUCUGGGAAAAUUACGUCCCUUUCCAAACAUCUGAAAAUUCCUAAAGCUCUCAUGUCGCCCUCUCACCACUCUGCAAAAUCUUUCCUCUUCCCCCCCAUUGGAGUCGAAGCUCUAAUAUCUCGGCUAUCAUUUACUUUGAUUACGAGUUGUGGUGCCAUUGUUUCUUCGACUUUGUGAUGAUUUCAAAGUUGUAAUUGAAUUCAAUCUCAAAUUUCA
rnacentral:lncRNA from 1 species